rnacentral:rRNA from 1 species
UACGUAGGCAGCGAGCGUUGUUCGGAGUUACUGGGCGUAAAGGGUGUGUAGGCGGUUGUUUAAGUUUGGUGUGAAAUCUCCUGGCUCAACUGGGAGGGUGCGCCGAAUACUGAAUGACUUGGAGUGCGGCAGAGGAGACUGGAAUUCCUGGUGUAGCAGUGAAAUGCGUAGAUAUCAGGAGGAACACCGAUGGCGAAGGCAGGUCUCUGGGCUGACACUGACGCUCAUGCACGAAAGGCGUGGGGAGCAAACAGG